AAUGAACGUUGGCGGCAUGGAUUAGGCAUGCAAGUCGAGCGAGAAGUGUAGCAAUACACGGAAAGCGGCGGAAGGGAGAGUAAUACGUGGGAAUCUGCCCUUAGACCUGGGAUAGCAGCGGGAAACUGCUGGUAAUACCAGAUAAUGUCUAUGGACCAAAGGUGUGAUUCCGUCUAGGGAUGAGCCCACGUCCUAUUAGCUAGUUGGGAGGGUAAUGGCCUACCAAGGCGAUGAUGGGUAGCGGGUGUGAGAGCAUGACCCGCCUCACUGGGACUGAGACACUGCCCAGACACCUACGGGUGGCUACAGUCGAGAAUCUUCGGCAAUGGGCGCAAGCCUGACCGAGCGAUGCCGCGUGCGGGAUGAAGGCCUUCGGGUUGUAAACCGCUGUCGAGGGGGAGCAACUUCCAUAGAGUUAUCUUUAUGGAUUGAGUGAUCCCUGGAGGAAGGACGGGCUAAGUUCGUGCCAGCCGCCGCCGUAACAC
rnacentral:rRNA from 1 species